UCAUUACAUUAACAGUUCCAUCAUUGUUUGCACUGAUAUUGGCAAUUCUGAUAUUAGAUGGAGCUGGUGGAGCAGAUGGAUCUUUAGAGGAGCGGAAGUGCUUGCUGGGUGCCGUGAAGCCCCUUGUCCCAUGCACGUUCACAGCUGCCACGCGGAACUGGUACCACCUGCUUGCUCUGAUGUCUGACAGUUGAACCCGCUCAUCUGUUGUCUGUGCCACAGUUUGCCAGUUAGUCGCGUCAUCCUCACUAGGAUGGAUUCCUUGAUUCCACCUCCUCUGAACAACGUAAAUCACAGGUUCAAUGGAAAUAUUGAAUUUUGAAGACCACUUCACCUCUAGAUCUCCAGACUGGAGUUCUAUGAAUUUUAAUUCUUUCCGGGGUUUCAAUGGAACACCUUUGUACAGAUUUUUGGGAACUUGGCAUGUGUG
rnacentral:lncRNA from 1 species